rnacentral:tRNA from 2 species
GGGAGUGUAGCUCAAAGGAUAGAGCACUGCGCUUCGGACGCAGUUGUUGUAGGUUCGAGUCCUACCACUCCCG